UACGAAGGGGGCUAGCGUUGUUCGGAAUUACUGGGCGUAAAGCGCACGUAGGCGGAUCGAUCAGUCAGGGGUGAAAUCCCAGAGCUCAACUCUGGAACUGCCUUUGAUACCGUCGGUCUAGAGUAUGGAAGAGGUGAGUGGAAUUCCGAGUGUAGAGGUGAAAUUCGUAGAUAUUCGGAGGAACACCAGUGGCGAAGGCGGCUCACUGGUCCAUUACUGACGCUGAGGUGCGAAAGCGUGGGGAGCAAACAGG
rnacentral:rRNA from 1 species